UGCCGGUAUAUGAAAAGUGAUAGAUAGAAUACUUGGAGAUCUUUGACGUGCAAAUGCAAUGUAGGCAUUAGAGAGAAUGAUAAAGGAUGAGUGCUUUCAGGUCCGUGUAGAUGGAGGGAUGAUAGAUGAUGAAAUGCUUUAAAAUACAUGCAGAUGAAUGGAUGAUGGAGAAUAGAUUAUUUUGAAAUUUGCGCAAGUAAAUGGUGAUAGAUCGUGAACAAUGAG
rnacentral:lncRNA from 1 species